CCUACGGGUGUCAGCAGUGGGGAAUAUUGGACAAUGGGCGAAAGCCUGAUCCAGCCAUGCCGCGUGUGUGAAGAAGGCCUUCGGGUUGUAAAGCACUUUCAGUGGGGAAGAAAGCCUUGGGGCUAAUACCCUCGAGGAAGGACAUCACCCACAGAAGAAGCACCGGCUAACUCCGUGCCAGCAGCCGCGGUAAUACGGAGGGUGCGAGCGUUAAUCGGAAUUACUGGGCGUAAAGCGCGCGUAGGCGGUCUGAUAAGCCGGUUGUGAAAGCCCCGGGCUCAACCUGGGAACGGCAUCCGGAACUGUCAGGCUAGAGUGCAGGAGAGGAAGGUAGAAUUCCCGGUGUAGCGGUGAAAGGCGUAGAGAUCGGGAGGAAUACCAGUGGCGAAGGCGGCCUUCUGGACUGACACUGACGCUGAGGUGCGAAAGCGUGGGUAGCAAACAGGAUUAGAUACCCUGGUAGUC
rnacentral:rRNA from 1 species